GGCUGACCUAUAUUAGCAUGGAGAUGGACAACCAUCUACAGGUCUGUGACUUAUUCACUACUGAUGAUAGGAACUGGAGAGCACAGGAUGUCAUCCAUCUUUAAUUUUGGUGGUCCGCUCGCUGAUCGGAUUCUCGUCAUUUCGAUGCCCAUCCAUCGAAGUUAGGAUUUGAGGGUGUGGGGCCAUUCUUGUUACCCUAAGGCUCCCAUGAGGGAUCUAUCCAAGAUGUGUAGGCCUGUGCCAAAUAGGAGGAUCGAGAUUGCUGGGAUAUGAAGAGUGGCUACUCAUCCUAGGAUAAGGCUAUUUCUCUAGAAGGCUGCUUGGGACUGGCUUCCAAUACGCACGUUACUUAGGGACAGGGACAUAGAGCUUUUGGCUUCUUAUUUGGUCUUCAGGUUGGAGGAUGAGUCGAUGGAGCAUGCCCUUUUGCAUUGUUUGAGGGCAAGGUUGAUUUGGGGGAGG
rnacentral:lncRNA from 1 species